CUUUGCCCAAUGACACUAAAAUUCUUGCAUGUGGUUAUAUUAUUUUGAACACUAUCAUAGAGCUGGCGGGGUACCCUUUUAUCCAGUUCAAAACAGAGUGUGGUUAUGUGAAGCAGCAGGCGGAUUCAGAGCCAGCAAUUCCUGCCUGACGUGCAUAGCAACCAUUAUGAAUUGAGCCUGAAGCAGCUUGACAUCAUGGGUGUGAUAAGAUGCAUGACCCUGGAGCCAUCAGCAUAUGACUUUUCAACUUUCCCAGUUACCAGUGCCCAGAUGGAUGGAGGGCCAGGGAUUA